CCUACGGGUGACAGCAGUGAGGAAUAUUGGUCAAUGGACGCAAGUCUGAACCAGCCAUGCCGCGUGCAGGACGACGGCUCUAUGAGUUGUAAACUGCUUUUGUACGAGGGUAAACGCAGAUACGCGUAUCUGUCUGAAAGUAUCGUACGAAUAAGGAUCGGCUAACUCCGUGCCAGCAGCCGCGGUAAUACGGAGGAUUCAAGCGUUAUCCGGAUUUAUUGGGUUUAACGGGUGCGUAGGCGGUCGGAUAAGUUAGAGGUGAAAUCCCGAGGCUCAACUUCGGAAGUGCCUCUGAUACUGUUCGGCUAGAGAGUAGGUGCGGUAGGCGGAAUGUAUGGUGUAGCGGUGAAAUGCUUAGAGAUCAUACAGAACACCGAUUGCGAAGGCAGCUUACCAAGCUACUUCUGACGUUGAGGCACGAAAGCGUGGGGAGCGAACAGGAUUAGAUACCCUUGUAGUC
rnacentral:rRNA from 1 species